GGCUUAUUGAGAGAAGAUUUUAGGUCUAACCUGCCCCCUGAAGUAUUUAAAUGGCCGCAGUAUUUUGACUGUGCUAAGGUAGCAUAAUAAUUAGUUUUUUAAUUGAAAGCUAGAAUGAAUGGUAUCAUGAAAAAAUUACUGUCUCUUUUAAAAAAUUAAAAUUUUAUUUUUAAGUUAAAAAGCUUAAAUAUUAUUAAAAGACGAGAAGACCCUAUAGAAUUUUAUCUAAAUUUAUUUUUAAUAAGUUAGUAUAUAAAAUUUAAAAAUAAAUUUAUAUUUAGUUGGGGUGAUUAGAAAAAUAAAGUAUCUUUUUUUUAUAUAAACAUUAAUUUAUGAUUUUAUGAUUCACAUUAGUGAUUUAAGAAUAAAUUACCUUAGGGAUAACAGCGUAAUUUUUUUUUAGAGUUCUAAUCAAAAAAAAAGAUUGCGACCUCGAUGUUGGAUUAAAAU
rnacentral:rRNA from 1 species